CAUGGGUCUGGUUGGGCCCGC
rnacentral:miRNA from 1 species